CCUACGGGGGGCAGCAGUGGGGGAUAUUGCACAAUGGGGGCAACCCUGAUGCAGCGACGCCGCGUGAGCGAUGGAGUACUUCGGUAUGUAAAGCUCUGUCAGCAGGGAGGAGAAUGACGGUACCUGACCAAGAAGCCCCGGCUAACUACGUGCCAGCAGCCGCGGUAAUACGUAGGGGGCAAGCGUUAUCCGGAUUUACUGGGUGUAAAGGGGGCGCAGACGGCGAUGCAAGCCAGGAGUGAAAGCCCGGGGCCCAACCCCGGGACUGCUCUUGGAACUGCGUGGCUGGAGUGCAGGAGGGGCAGGCGGAAUUCCUGGUGUAGCGGUGAAAUGCGUAGAUAUCAGGAGGAACACCGGUGGCGAAGGCGGCCUGCUGGACUGCAACUGACGUUGAGGCCCGAAAGCGUGGGGAGCAAACAGGAUUAGAUACCCGAGUAGUC
rnacentral:rRNA from 1 species